rnacentral:piRNA from 1 species
UAUGGAACCAAAAAAGAGUCUACAUAGCCA